rnacentral:rRNA from 1 species
AAACCCCCCUGCCGAUAAGAACUCUCAAGGGGGAUAACGCUGUUAUCCCUAAGGUAAUUUAAUCUUACAAUCAAAAUAAAUGGAUCAAAUAAUUAUAAAUAAAUAUAACAACAUAAAGGAGGGGUUAAAUAAAUUCCUCCCAUCACCCCAACAAAACAUACUAAAUGGCCCAGUGAACCCUCACAAACAGAAAAGAACCAUAAUAAAUGUUAAACUCUAUAGGGUCUUCUCGUCCCAUAAAAACAUCUAAGAAUUUUAACUCAAAGACCAAAUUCAAUAAACAAUUCAAAAUUAAGACAGCCCAUGCCUCGUCAAGCCAUUCAUACCAGAUCACAAUUAAAGAACUAAUGACUAUGCUACCUUUGCACGGUCAAAAUACCGCGGCCCUUCAACAUCAAAGUCAGCGGGCAGGCCUACU